rnacentral:rRNA from 1 species
GACGAACGCUGGCGGCGUGCCUAAUACAUGCAAGUCGAGCGAAAUUUUUCCGGUGCUUGCGCCGGAAAAACUUAGCGGCGAACGGGUGGGGAACACGUAAAGUACCUGCCUCAUAGACUGGGACAACUAUUGGAAACGAUAGCGAAUACCGUAUAAGAGCAUUAACUGCAUGGUUGAUGUUGAAAAGUUGGUUUUGCUAACACUAUGAGAUGGCUUUGCGGUGCAUUAGGUAGUUGGUGGGGGAAAGGCCUACCAAGGCGACGACGCAUAGCCGACCUGAGAGGGUGAUGGGCCACACUGGGACUGAGACACGGCCCCGACUCCUACGGGAGGCAGCAGUAGGGAAUCUUCCGCAAUGGGCGAAAGCCUGACGGAGCAGCGCCGCGUGAGUGAAGAAGGAUUUCGGUUCGUAAAGCUCUGUUGUUAGGGAAGAAUGAUUGUGUAGUAACUAUGCACAGUAGAGACGGUACCUAACCAGAAAGCAACGGCUAACUACGUG